rnacentral:rRNA from 1 species
UGGGGAAUAUUGCACAAUGGGCGCAAGCCUGAUGCAGCCAUGCCGCGUGUAUGAAGAAGGCCUUCGGGUUGUAAAGUACUUUCAGUCGGGAGGAAGGUGGUAAGGUUAAUAACCUUGGCAAUUGACGUUACCGACAGAAGAAGCACCGGCUAACUCCGUGCCAGCAGCCGCGGUAAUACGGAGGGUGCAAGCGUUAAUCGGAAUUACUGGGCGUAAAGCGCACGCAGGCGGUUGAUUGAGUCAGAUGUGAAAUCCCCGGGCUUAACCCGGGAAUUGCAUCUGAUACUGGUCAGCUAGAGUCGUGUAGAGGGGGGUAGAAUUCCAUGUGUAGCGGUGAAAUGCGUAGAGAUGUGGAGGAAUACCGGUGGCGAAGGCGGCCCCCUGGACAAAGACUGACGCUCAGGUGCGAAAGCGUGGGGAGCAAACAGG